CCAUCGAGAACGUGAGGUCCAUCUUGAGAUCUUUGUGCAAGUCUGUGCUUCAAUAUGCCUUCUUUUGUUAGGAAACUAUAAUUUCACCAAACCCUCCAAGAAGUUUGGCCCACUCUGUUAAUACACACAAAAAAAAAGGAAAUGUCACUUACCCCAAAAAUGAGAUAAAUGCAAAAAUUUGGUGAUCAAGUAUCAUUUCCCAGCAUUUUUUGGGGUUAUCUCCAAAUGGGGCAAACUUUGAGGGUUUUGUUAAUUUACCCCUAGAAAAAGUAUGCCAUUUCCUCAAAAGGUUUCAAUAUCUGCUUUUUUAAAGUAACAAUAUAUGACAAUACAGGAGUUGCAUUCUACCAGAGGGGUACUUGCUGGAGAAAGAGCAAGAGCAUUUCAGCUUCAGGUUGAAGUAUUCCAUCUGAAGCAAAGAUUCCAAUCCUUGGAGAAUAGGGCACCGACCCCUAGGAAACCCUACCACAUGUAAAUAGUUUAAUGCUCUGUUGAGAUGAUACAUUGUUUGUGUAUAUAAGAUACUAUCUGAUUUGAGUAUUUAGCAAUGUAAGUGUAACGUGAUCAAUUUGUAUAAUGUAACUUUAGCUAUUCUGUUUUAUGGUUCUCAUCAACAAUUUUAUCACAUUUUCUUCACUUUAAUAGGA